GACAUCUCCGGUGGCCUAAUUAGUUAGAGCGUCCUCCUUGGAUGCGGGAGGUUGCAGGUUCGAACCCCAGCCGAGUCA